ensembl:lncRNA
UGUAUUCGUUUGGAUAGAAACACUUUCGUUAAACCCUUGGAAGCCACAUGGACGGUUGUUGGGAGUCAGAAUUUAGCCAGCUGUUUAGCCAGUAGCAUGGUUUCAAAACUCGAGCCAGAUGUGGUAAAGCUUUGUAUCAGGACAGGAAAAAAAACCAACUUGAGAGUAUUUUUGGGAUAGAGCUUCUAUCCAGCAAGCAGACCAUCCCGCUUUUUUGCUAUUAAAUAGGUGUUUGAAAUUAGAUGUAUUUUUUUUUUACCAACUUAUAUAAUUCGAAUAUAUCUGGUUGUGAACUAUACUUUGUAAAAUACGAGAUGACUGUACACCAGUGUUCCUCGAUGUUAUUUAGACGACGCCAAGUUGACUUUUGGACAAGGUCUUUGUGCUAUGAGGUCUCCCAGCUGAUUGACAUCUAAAACUGAAGUAGACAGCCCAAGACUGUCAAGACUGACUCAAGAUUUUCAAGAUAUUGCACACCUGCAGUCUGAUUUCCAACUGUUACAAAAAUCCCUUAUGGUAGGUUGGCCCUAAAUACAAAUAAAGCUAUGUACAUUAUAUUUUCUAGGUCACAGAACCUAGCUUU